GACGUAGGUGGCGAACGUUAUCCGGAAUUAUUGGGCGUAAAGGGUGCGUAGGCGGCAUGAUAAGUUAUUGGCGGGAAAUCGAGGCUCAACCUCGUGGAAACUAAUAAUACUGUUUUGCUUGAGUACAGGAGAGGUUAACGGAACUCCAUGUGGAGCGGUAAAAUGUGUAGAUAUAUGGAAGAACAUCAAUAACGGCGAAGACAGUUAACUAUUCUGUUACUGACGUUGAGGCACGAAAGCGUGGGGAGCAAAACGG
rnacentral:rRNA from 1 species